UUGGAGGUGUCUUUAGUACUUUAGUCUACUACAGUAAAAAGUUAUGUCUUAUGUCUUUACUGCAAGUAAUCAGAUAAAAGUGACACACAUUUGUGAAUUGAAAGUUCUUCCCAUUGUCUGGUACAUAAAGAAGAAGGUGCGUUAUGGAAAAUGGCAAAGAAGCAAAUCGCGAAUUACAAGAACUACUUGAUGAAGGAAAAGAAGAAGAGUUCAUUAAACGUCUUAAGGACAAUUCUAACUUGAUGAAAUGUAAAAUAAAAGAUUCCAAGUCAAUACACGAACAAACUUUAUUACAGUAUUGUUGCCGUAAAAAUUUACAAAAAGCUGCGAAAUUUCUCAUAGACAACGGAGCAGAUUUAAUGGAGAAAGCACCCAAAACCGAGCCACCAAUAAAAAUAGCCUAUUUUAUGGGUUAUUUUGAUUUAGCAAAAAUGUUGAUAGAAUCAGUAAGUUCUCGCGGCGAUGACUUGACGAAAUUAGUGUGCGAAGGUUUGAUCAGUUUGAUAAAUUCACGAGGCAGUGACAACUAUAAUAAACAUGAACCUUAUAUUAAAAACUUACUGGAAAUAGUUGAGCAAAAUAAUAUCGAUACUGAAACAUACAAAGAUGAAAAUGGGCAAACAGUUUCUUUCUACGCUUUGUAUUUUGGAUGUUACGAUAUAUUAAUCAGAUUAAAAGCAAAAACACGGUUCAGUGAUACAAUUCUUCCUAGUGAAUUGGAAAAAAUUUUUGACUCCUGCGUUCACAUAAAUGAAAGCGAGCCUAAACCUGGUACACCUAAUAUUACUUUUAAAUAUGACAGUUUAUGUACAGAAGACAGUACUAAAUUAAGCGAAAUUUCUUAUUUUUGUAAUCUAAUUUAUGAUGAUAAAUACAUACAGUUGUUGUGGCAUCCUUUGGUAAUGUGUUUCUUUCUUUUAAAAUGGGUUAAAAUUAAAAAAUAUUUUUAUUUUCACAUUGGUGGAUAUUUAGUUUAUAUGGCACUCUUCAUUUGCCUUACUUUCAUACAUCCAACGGAUAAUACUUCAUGGAUUUUAAUGUAUUUUCUAAAAGGAAUAAUAAUAUUUGUUAAUAGCGUAGAUAUAACAUUUUGGAUAACAAUGUGCACAAAUUUAUAUUCCACUUGUUCAUCAUCUAAAAAAAAUUGGAAACUUUCUUUAUUAAAAAUGUAUAUAUUUCAUAUAUGCAUCACUCUUACAGUCAUAACUUUUGUUAUAAUUUCUUCUACAUAUGAAAAACACUUUGCAAAUAAAAUUUUGUUUAUACCACUUUUAAUUGUAGCUUUUAAGCUAAUCUUAUUAUCUCGAUUAAUUUCGAUUUAUGGUGAAUUAUUUCUUAUUGUUCUCAGUAAUUGUAUUAAAGUCUUAGCUUGGAUGUUUGUUUUAUUUGCAAUAGUUUCUGGGAUUUAUUAUUCAACAUUUAAUAAUUUACCUCAAAAUAAUGGGAAUGAUUUCGUUACGACACUGGUAAUAGUAUUCUACAAAAUGUUUCUUUUACUUGUUGGAGAAUUAGAAGACUUAGCAAAAGAUACUCCUCUUAACGUAACUAUUUAUGCAGUUUUUGUUCUAGUAUUUACUAUUGUUUGUGCAAAUUUGUUAAAUGCUUUAAUUAUAUAUGACACAAAUCUCUUAAAAAAAGAUGCUUUAUGUAUACAUCAAAGAGAAAUUGCUCGAUACGUGCAUUCAUUUGAGUUAGCAGUUGAAUAUUUUCAAGGUCGAUUAAAAUUUUUGAAGAGAUUAGAAAAGUCUAUGAAUUUUAACAAUGAUAAUUUAAAAGAAAUAAAAGGAUAUAUAAAUGGAUCUUUUAAAAAUGUGAAAAAAACACAAAGGUGCUUAAAGUGUCGAAGUUCUUUUCUUCCGACUGUAUUAGGUUAAACGAAAACAUAAUUAAAAGUUUAAAUGUCUUAACGAGAAGAAUAAAAAAAAUGCCCAUUUUUGAUUGUGUUAUUUAUACAGAACAACAUAUUAGAGAUGUUGAGGAAGACGAAACACCUAUUAGAAAUACAGCGUGAUUUUUAAAUAAACCUACAAAACUCUACCCAUUGUAGUAUUAAAAGAGUACAUGUUGGGAUAAAUAGUAAAAAAUAUAUUUGUAUGUCCGUUUUUUUAAGAUAUGCUGGAGAUAUAGCGUACGCCACUGAUGUGUUCAAAAAUAGUAUUAGCAUAGUUAGUGAAAAGCUUGAUAAUCAUUUGAUGACAAUCGUAUUAUCGAUAUCUAUGAUGAAAACGAGUACUUUUUUUCAAUAGAACUAAUUUAAACUUAUAUGCGAUCUAAUAAGUGGCACGAAUUAAGGGGUUUCUACCUCUACGAAACAAAAACGUAAAUAUGGUACAGAUCGUCUCUACUUAUCCUUGGAGAGUUGUGAUAACAUUUUGUUGGUCUAUUUAAGAAUCACCCUGUAUAAUUAUUCAACUAACGUCAAAAUUGCUAUUUAUAAAUGGUAUCCACAAAAACUAUGGUUCAAAAAAAUUAUACCACAUCAUUUUGAAUCAUCCUGCAUACAUAAUACAUAAUUAUUAAAAAAGUACGUCUAAUAUAAUAUAUUUAAUGUAACAAGCGUCUAGAAAAGAUUUACAUUUUAGUGUCUUCUGACUAAGCCAACGCAGGUCCAAGAAUAAAAUUAAUUUAUUAUUUAAUUUACUUUGACAAAUUCAUGACUACUCCUUGGUUCCUAUUUUCUACAGGGUAAGUCUUCUAUUUAUCGACCUGGUCUAGCCAAGGCACAUUACGAUUUUUUAGAUGCUUGUUAUAGGUAAAUUAAGGUUUAAAAAAGUUUGUUUUUGUAUACAAACAUUUUUUAUUUGUAACGUAGGUAAAUCAAAAUUGUAAAUUCUAUUUCAAACCUUUAGACAAAAUGGCAACAGCGCGUUUGCAUUUUUUAUGGUUAAAUUUAUACUUCCUCGAUAAAAAGAAAAUUCUUCUUUGUUAUACUGCGUCGUCAAAAAAAAAUUGAAGACCCAUUACAUACCUCGGAUCAGACUGUAAUAGUGCCGAGAAAACCUAACAAUUGAGACAAAGUAACAGUUUGUGCUAAGGUUUUGAAAAAGAAUAAAUGCACUUUAGGAAUUGUAUGUCAACAAAUUUAAUUGGUGACAGUAAAACUACUCUGCUUUUAUACCUUAAAUAAAAUUUUUCACAAAUGCA